rnacentral:rRNA from 1 species
AGUGAACGCUGGCGGUAGGCCUAACACAUGCAAGUCGAACGGCAGCACAGUAAGAGCUUGCUCUUACGGGUGGCGAGUGGCGGACGGGUGAGGAAUACAUCGGAAUCUACUUUUUCGUGGGGGAUAACGUAGGGAAACUUACGCUAAUACCGCAUACGACCUACGGGUGAAAGCAGGGGAUCUUCGGACCUUGCGCGAUUGAAUGAGCCGAUGUCGGAUUAGCUAGUUGGCGGGGUAAAGGCCCACCAAGGCGACGAUCCGUAGCUGGUCUGAGAGGGUGAUCAGCCACACUGGAACUGAGACACGGUCCAGACUCCUACGGGAGGCAGCAGUGGGGAAUAUUGGACAAUGGGCGCAAGUCUGAUCCAGCAAUACCGCGUGAGUGAAGAAGGCCUUCGGGUUGUAAAGCCCUGUUGUUGGGAAAGAAAAGCAGCAGGUUAAUACCCCGCUGUUCUGACGGUACCCAAAGAAUAAGCACCGGCUAACUUCGUG